AUACUUACCUGGCAAGGGAGAUACCAUGAUCACGAAGGUGGUUUUCCCAGGGUGAGGCUUAUCCAUUGCAUUCCAGAUGUGCUGACCUCUACGAUUUCCCCAAAUGUGGGAAAUUGGACUGCAUAAUUUGUGGUAGUGGGGUACUGCAUUCACACUCUCUCCUG
rnacentral:snRNA from 1 species